ensembl:lncRNA novel transcript, antisense to NUP214
GCCACUCCUAGCUAUGUAACCAAAUGAAAAGUACACAUGUGCUCCGAGAGACACACACGGGAAUAUUCAGAACCUUUUCUGUAAUAGCUAUAAACUGAAAGCAGCACAUGUCCAACAGGAAAAUGAAUAAACAAAUACAGCAUAUUCAUACAAUAGAAUCCUAUACAGAGCAACUAAAAUAACAGCUAGAGGCAACAACACGGAUGGAUCUUACAAGCCUGAUGUGGAACAAGAGAAGCCUGUCCAGAGACUAAGUGAAUGGAUUUAUGUGGUAUGCAAAAACAGGCAAAACCAAAUCAUAGUGUUUUGGGAGGUAUGCUUACAUAGUAAAGCUCUGAAGGAAAACAAAGAAAAGGCGACUAAAGAGAAUGACAACUUACACAAUGCAGAAUCCUGGAUUGGAUCCUAGAUCCAAUCAACGUGUAGGGAUGCUGAUCCCACUCCAAGUCUAGAACAUCAUUCACAUCUUGGACAGCAAAUUUCACAUACUGAUGAAGGCGCCGAAUUUCCUAUAAGAAAAAAAUUAAAAGUAAGUUGACCAGGUGUGGGACAGAAACACUGGGGAACAAUAAAGUUUGAGGCCUCAAAUUCUCUGAGGCAAGAAUGAUUCAUCACACCUGCAAACCCCACAGAUGUCAUGAGGAAGACCAGAGAUGCCAGUGAACGCUUCCCGCUGGAAUUCCAGACAAAUGUGAGAUAGCAGAAGAGGACCCCCACACUAAGGCAUACCGGUAGUAGAGCCAUCACCACAUCUGGAGACGUUUCCAGGGUCCCAUCUGCAGCAGCAUACACUAUGGCGAAGACGUAGGUACCAAUCCACAGCACAUCCAGAACUGAAAGACACAUCUUAAUCAGUAGCUCAUAAAAAUGACAGCAACCAGAUACAAGAAAAAGCAGCUUAUGUUUGGAAUAGCCACUAUGGAUAAAAAAA